GCGAAAACUGCACAAUGCACGAAAGUGUGAUGCGGUGAGGCAGAGUGCCACUCUCACGGGUGGCUGUUCUGGAUAGUAAAUACAUCCAGAAGAAAGGAGAGGGCAAGGAUGGUGCCAGCAGCCGCGGUAAAACCAUCUCUCCGAGUGGACCGAUAUACUGGGUCUAAAGCGUGUGCAGCUGGAAAGGUAUGUCUUCGCUGAAAGCGGAUCGCUUAACGAAACCGAAGUGGUGAAGAAACUGCCUUUCUUGGGAGUGGAAGAGGUAUACGGUACUAUCAGGGGAGCGGUGAAAUGCGUAGAUCCUGAUGGGACCACCUGUGGCGAAGGCGGUACACUGGAACACAUCCGACAGUCAGACACGAAAGCUAGGGGAGCGAACGGGAUUAGAUACCCCGGUAGUCCUAGCCGUAAACGAUGCGUGCUAAGUGUCAGGAAACCCAGUUUCCUGGUGCUGGAGGGAAGCCGUUAAGCGCGCCACCUGGGAAGUACGACCGCAAGGUUGAAACU
rnacentral:rRNA from 1 species